GACAACGCCGCCUCCCUGGGCGGAACCGUAAUCUGCAACGCCAAAAAAAGAAAGGCGCCGUCAAUAGUCUCUAGAGAACCUGAAGCAACACCAACAAUCAGCAGGACUCCUGCCUUCUCCCCUUGUUGUGUCACAGAAAAGCAAGGACAGAUGAGGAAGAAUAAACCCUGUUAACCUCUGCCCACUCUACUAUAUCCGAGGCCCGGGAGGAGACAGGAUCGAUGCAGUGGAUUCUGGAGUUAAUGAGGUAACAAAAUUGUGAACAAAAAAGCCACGCAACAUGUGAUGGUCUCAAGACUAAGUUUCCUGCUUGCCCACCUAAUGCUAUGAAGCUCGCUAGGGGUGUCCUGACCAGGUUACUAUCAUGUUAACUGAUUGCACAGGGUGGUUGUGUGGCAAACACAUCAGACUUAGCUCCCUGAAGAAAUGAUGGGAUACAAAUGUCACAAAUGCUUUAUAAACACCAGUUUUAUAAACAACUUCUUCUUUGGUGAUCACUCGUAGCCAAGUAAGAUUGUCUCCCAUAAGCCGUGUUUAUGGAAGUUUUAUAAUAUAAGGAGUGUUGUACUACUAAAGCACAUUUCAUAUAGAGCUCUUGCAAUCUUCCUCAU